rnacentral:lncRNA from 1 species
CUUCAGUCCCUGGCUGUCUAAUGGAGGGCAACCCUGGACCUGCCCAGGGCCUGGAGGAACUCACCAAGUGGAAGUCUGUUGAAAAGUGAAUGGGAAUUGAAUAAGAUGAAGAUAAUGUAUGUAUGAUUCCUUCGAUAAUCAGCUUCUGAUGAAAAUGGAAGAGAAGGCAAUGGCAGAACUGCUAUUCCUUACAUGCAUAAGCUAAACCAUAAAGGAGAUACAAUCAAUACAAAUAUGAAAGCAAGAUUUGUAUGAUCAAGUGGAAUUAAGAUGGCAGCUAAAGAUGGUAAAGUUAUGUUUCACAUAGCAUCUUCCUCCAAGAACUCAUAACUUGAACAACUAAUCUUUGAUGGAGAGUGAGAACCAAAAAAGCACACCAGAAGCAAUCAACAAAAAAGGCAAUCACCUGCAUAGGCAGAAAUAUCCAAGUGUUCCCAAGAUUUAGAUUUUGCAAACACAUGUGGCACUUAGCUAAACCCUGAAGAGGAGUGCUAAAAAGAGGCAAAGGGAGAAAAGAGUGAGUGAGGGCAAGUGGAAGUGAUGAAAGUGCUCACAAGUAAAAGACAAGCUCCAACUUAGAAAGAAAAUUAAGAGUGGAUACCAACGAGUAAUGAUAUCACACUCUGUGGUGUAGAGAAAAACUUUCCUUUCUAGUGAAAUUCCCCUCAAUAAAAAUCUAUAUAACAUCAGAUACAGAAAUCAUUACUGGGGUUAGCUAUUUUUGUGAAAAUUUGGAUUUAGUUUUUGGUUUGCAGUAAGAUGACAUUUAGCCAAGCAAAUACUAAAGAGAUAACUUAAAAAGAGAAAUAUCUAUUAGAAAGCAAGCUUCAGAUAAUUAAAAAAAAAAACAGGAGGACACCAACAUAAAAAUUUAGUCAUGAGUAGUAAAUUAAUGUUGUUUAUUUCUGGUAAACUGAAAUAAAAU